rnacentral:rRNA from 1 species
GACAGAGGGUGCAAACGUUGUUCGGAAUUACUGGGCGUAAAGCGCGUGUAGGCGGCCCUGCAGGUCGGAUGUGAAAUCCCACGGCUCAACCGUGGAAGUGCAUUCGAAACUGCAGGGCUAGAGUCCUGGAGAGGAAGGUGGAAUGCUUGGUGUAGAGGUGAAAUUCGUAGAUAUCAAGCGGAACACCGGUGGCGAAGGCGGCCUUCUGGACAGUGACUGACGCUGAGACGCGAAAGCGUGGGGAGCAAACAGG